GGGGAGGCAGGGGACGAGGGACCGAGGGACGGACCGAGGCUGGCUGGCUCAGGGUAGGAGUGACAGAGCAACGGACAGGUGGGAGCAGUUAGACAGCUUGAGACAGGGAGACUGGAACGCAGAGAGAGGGAGAGAGAGAACGAAAGAGAGAGAGAGUGUGUGAGAAAAAGAGAGAGAGCGUAGCACUCGCGUGCUCCCUCCCUUCCAGACGCCCUCCUCUGUCCGAGGGAAGCAACCGGGACACUGGUGGGAGAGGGAGAGAGAUGCGGGCUCAGAAGACGGGAAGAGGGACCCUGCAUCGCUAGGCGGACCGAGACGCGGAGGGACGGACAGAUUGACUUAUGCACGGACUGACAGCCAGCGAGAGUGGCAGCUCGGAGAGCGGAGCGCAGGAAAGCUAGAAUCCCGCGCUGAGCUGCCAGGCUGAGCCACAGACGGUCAGACAAACAGACGUGCAGAGGGACAGACUGGCAGACAGGAGGUGGGGGCACGUUCACUCCCUGCAGCCAGCCGGGCAGAGAAGGCGGCGGCGGCUCCCCCUGAGCGCGUCCGGAGCUGCGACAAGCAGCAGGGGCAGUAGGGUCGCCAGCCGAAGCCACCACCGUCGCCGCAGCCUUGGCCGCCACAGCCCUGCGAGGAUCCCAGCCGACGCUGCAGAAAGCUCGUUUACCAGCAGUUAAAUAAAUCGACCAAAAAAAAAAAAAAAGCCAAGCCAAACCAAACAAAUCCAGCCAAAUCAAUCAUUGAGAAAUAAUAAUAUUAAUAAAAGCCAAAAACUAAAUCAAAUCAAUCAAGGCACCAAGACGCUGGGGGGAUAUCCACUGUUCGGUCAAGAUACUAGACCUUACAGUACUUGGAAGCUGCUCCCCUGUUGGUCAGGCGUGAAUGCUGUCUGGUCAAAUCAGAAGCCUGUCCCAAAAGUCUGCUACUGGUCUGAGGAGUCUGCUUUUUCAACUACCUUGGGGGGACACAGGGAGCUGAUCUACUCACACACUGAACCAUGUGCAAGAUGACAUCUAUGAAUGGUGGGCCCAGCCACCAGGGGACCACUUGCUCUCCUACAUCUGUUUGUUCUUGGCUUCAGUUUCUGACUCUGGUCUGAUCCUUCUCGAUGUGAGCAGUCAAACUCUGCCUCCAACCCCUCCGCCUGCAAGCAUACCCUAAGUGUACAUGUCCACCUGAACCUUGCUCCUUUGCCCCUUGCCAUUGGCUAUAACCAGUACCCUCCUUUCUGAUCUGUGCACUCCAUGCCUGGAGAAAGGUCUGGAAAGUGAGAGCCAUACUUGGGCUCUGAGGGAGGAUGAGAGAGCGGUUGCUCCCAACCCUUCAGGGUAUGUAACAACAGGUUAAGAUAAUGAGAAACUUCCUUCUUAAAGUUAUCUUCUGGAUGAAUAAUUUUCCAGCUCAAAUGGAGAAUUAUUAACUAUUGACUGAGGACUUUGAGUAAAUGUUUCCUUUCUUUCUUGUAGGAUACCCCUCUCUUCAUCUUAUUGAAUGAGAAGGAGUUUUCUUUGAAUCGUGAAUUAACCUUAUCUAACACUUCCUUGAAAAUUAGUGAACUGCCCAAUAAGAAUUCAUUUAGUAUUCAUUGUUUCACAAACUUGGUAAAAAACAGAGAAGAGAAGUCCUUGCAACGCUAAGUUGAGUAACUCCUCAUUUUUAGGAGAUUGCAAAUUUCUUGAAGUCAGAUGCUGGACUGCAUCAGUCUUUGUAUCUCACACAAUUCCCUGCAGAAUGCCUUGCACCUAGUAGGAGCUGAGUAAAUAAUUGUUUAUCGACUCCACUGAAAUUAACAGGCCUGAUUACACACAUGAGCACACACUCAUGGAUUGUCUGGACAAUUAAAGCCAGGUCCUCCAAGAGGCCAAAUGUUUUACUUUGACCAAUUUAGAUACACAUCUUCUCAGCCUUGUAAAACAUCAAAUACUGAAUCAGAUUUAACGUUCUCUUAUCGAUUCAUUGUCAUAGUAUGAAAAUCAGUUAUUGAGCUGUGCUCAUGAGAAUAAUGAUUCAUGCUGUUAAACUUCAUUCAUGCUGUUAAACGAGGUGAGGCCUGUCCAGAAAUAGAAGUGGUGAAUGAUGGGACAUAAACAGGGAAAGUGAAAGUGACUCUGUGAGUCCUUCUUGGUAAAGUUCAUAGAGUACUGCUCAGCAUAUAGGAACACAAUAGAAGUGUUA
rnacentral:lncRNA from 1 species